rnacentral:rRNA from 1 species
GGGGCCGGGGUUCGCCCACGUAACGUGCUUAGGAUGCUGGCGUAAUGGCUUUAAACGACCCGUCUUGAAACACGGACCAAGGAGUCUAACAUGCCUGCGAGUGUUUGGGUGGAAAACCCGGACGCGGAACGAAAGUGAURAGGUCGGGACCUCUGUCGCGGAGGGCACCGACGCCCGGACCAGAGCUUCUGUGACGGAUCCGAGGUAGAGCAUGUAUGUUGGGACCCGAAAGAUGGUGAACUAUGCCUGAGUAGGGUGAAGCCAGAGGAAACUCUGGUGGAGGCUCGUAGCGAUUCUGACGUGCAAAUCGAUCGUCGAACUUGGGUAUAGGGG